UACAUAGACCUCAAGCGUUAUCCGGAAUUACUGGGCGUAAAGCGUGCGCAGGCGGCGCGUUAAGACAGGUGUGAAAGCCCCGAGCUUAACUUGGGAAUUGCGCUUGUGACUGGCGUGCUGGAGUGUGGCAGAGGGAGGUGGAAUUCCACGUGUAGCAGUGAAAUGCGUAGAGAUGUGGAGGAACACCGAUGGCGAAGGCAGCCUCCUGGGCCAGCACUGACGCUCAUGCACGAAAGCGUGGGGAGCAAACAGG
rnacentral:rRNA from 1 species